GUGCCAGCCGCCGCGGUAAUACCGGCAGCCCAAGUGAUGGCCGAUCUUAUUGGGCCUAAAGCGUCCGUAGCUGGCUGCGCAAGUCCGUCGGGAAAUCGACGUGCUCAACGCGUCGGCGUCCGGUAUAAACUACACGGCUUGGGGCCGAGAGACUCAACGGGUACGUCCGGGGUAGGAGUGAAAUCCUGUAAUCCUAGACUGACCACCAAUGGGGAAACCACGUUGAGAGAUCGGACCCGACGGUGAGGGACGAAAGCUAGGGUCUCGAACCGGAUUAGAUACCCUAGUAGUCC
rnacentral:rRNA from 1 species